GACAGAGGGUGCAAACGUUGUUCGGAAUUACUGGGCGUAAAGCGCGUGUAGGCGGCUAAGUAAGUCGGGCGUGAAAUCCCACGGCUCAACCGUGGAAGUGCACUCGAAACUGCAUAGCUAGAGUCCUGGAGAGGAAGGUGGAAUGCUUGGUGUAGAGGUGAAAUUCGUAGAUAUCAAGCGGAACACCGAUGGCGAAGGCAGGUCUCUGGGCCAUUACUGACACUGAGAAGCGAAAGCAUGGGGAGCGAACAGG
rnacentral:rRNA from 1 species